UUUCUUUCUCUUUUCUGUUUUGUUUUCUUUUCUCUUUCUUUCUUUUCUGUUUUGUUUCACUUUCCUCUUCCUUUCCAGGACAAGGCUAUUUCAGGCAGCAAGAUUCAACUUGGACUUUGGUUGCAAAGUGGUAACAAUAUCAAUCAUGUGGGAGCUCAUUGCAUUUACUGGCUCUAGAUUCAUCAGUUAUCAGGUUCUUUUCAUUCACUUCAUUCUGCACAUGUCCCACUCCAUUCUCAUCAACUCACAGUCCCAAACUUAUCAAUCACUUUGUACAACAUUGUCCUUUAAGUGCUACACAUGCCUGCACCAAUAUUAUUCCAUUUUUCCUGGGCUUGUAUUCCAUCAAAAUGUGCUCAAUUGCAUGCUUCCCACACAGCUUGGACCCCCGUCACUCACCAGACUGCCCAUCUAGUGUGGCCUAGAGCCUGCCACACAGGGACCUCUAUCUCUGCCCUUGUCUUGUCCCAGCACACUUGAAUCCCCCAGCCAGGUGGGGCCCCUAGCCCCCUUGAAGCAAUGUAGGACAUUUCCACACUGAGCCUUGAAGUCUUGUGAGAUCCCAAGUUCCUUUACUGCUGUAAAGAUUUGCUACCACACCUCCCUAGCCAUGUUGCACUCCCACAACACAUGAUUAACUAUUUCCACCUCACCACAUUCUUUACACCUCUGUUUUGCCUCCUCUCAAAACCACUGGCCAACUAGGAGACCAUUGUUGGCCACCAACCAAGAUGUAACUUUGGCCUUCUCCUGGAUCAGGAGCUUUCAGAAGUCUAACAUGUUUCCCACCACCUGUUUUGCAUCCACACCUUGCACGAUCCUACCACAGCUUUGGAAUUUCCUCUCUUGCCUCCUCCUGAGACGUCAGCAGCCCAUUCUGUGCCUCUUUGACUGCAUAUGAGAAAAAUCCAUUUGCUCCUCGCUGCCAUGCUGUGGGAUCCCAAUCCAGAUCCUCAAGUAACUGCUGCCACCACCAUACCAGCAAUCCAUCCCCUUCUAAGAGGGCUUCUGAUUCUACCACAUCAAGCCGUUUGGGAGUCUAGUGCAAAACCUGUAUCCACCCUCUGAACUCGUCAUCCGAUACCUAUGGCAUUACCUAUGUUUCUCCCACAGGGAGAAGCAUAUCUCCUCUCAUGACUCUAAAGGGUUGCCCUAUGUUAUCCAUUAGUGAAAUCACAAACCAUACCUCCACAUCCUCAUUCAACCAGGCAAGAGUGGGGGCCAUGAAGGCUUGGGAUGAACCCAGCGGGAACCGCUUCACGCCCUGUUCCUCUCACUCUGAGUCCCUCUGCACCGUGAUGAAGUCUCCUGUUCUGAGGUGAUGUCUCGGCCACUCGCCCCUUUCCUUUGUUGUGUUUGCUGCACGCAAGAGUUGUAGAAUAUUCAGCCGGAGGUUCUGUCUUUGCCAUGGGCCAAAACCCUAUAGCUGUCUCACCAUUGUCCUAGUGUCCUUGUCCAAAAGCCAUUGGAGUGGAGUUUCCUCCAGAUGGUAUAGUGUGGCUCCCUAC
rnacentral:lncRNA from 1 species